GGGUCAGUAGGUUGGUCGUGCCACCGGUACGUACUGGUCUCACUGAUUCCUCCUUCCUGAAGAACCGUAAUGCCAUUAAUUUGGUGUUGCGGGGAAACAGGACUGUUACUUUGAAAAAAUUAGAGUGUUUAAAGCAAGCUAACGCUUGAAUACAUUAGCAUGGAAUAAUGAAAUAGGACGACCGAUCCUGAUUUGUUGGUUUCUAGGAUUGACGUA
rnacentral:rRNA from 1 species